rnacentral:rRNA from 1 species
CCUACGGGUGGCUGCAGUGAGGAAUAUUGGUCAAUGGGCGAGAGCCUGAACCAGCCAAGUCGCGUGAAGGAUGACGGCCCUACGGGUUGUAAACUUCUUUUGUCAGGGAGCAAUUGAGUCCACGUGUGGUCUUAGCGAGAGUACCUGAAGAAAAAGCAUCGGCUAACUCCGUGCCAGCAGCCGCGGUAAUACGGAGGAUGCGAGCGUUAUCCGGAUUUAUUGGGUUUAAAGGGUGCGCAGGCGGAAUGUCAAGUCAGCGGUAAAAUUUCGGGGCUCAACCCCGUCGUGCCGUUGAAACUGGCGUUCUUGAGUGAGCGAGAAGUAUGCGGAAUGCGUGGUGUAGCGGUGAAAUGCAUAGAUAUCACGCAGAACUCCGAUUGCGAAGGCAGCAUACCGGCGCUCAACUGACGCUCAUGCACGAAAGCGUGGGUAGCGAACAGGAUUAGAUACCCGGGUAGUC